GCAAUACCUGUGACUGUCAAAAGCAAUUUCAGUGGAAUGAUGGAAGUCUCUAGACUUGAUGAGUGAAAAAAUGAGUGAAAAUGAGUAAAUAUCUUCCAAGUUGUAACAGUACCUGAAAUGGUGCCCAGCUGCUCUCUAUCAACUCCACUGCUGACAGACAUGACUCAAACUGCACAAGAGUUAUCUGGGUUAAUGAAAUGCAAAAAGUCCCUCAGAGCAAAGGCUACAGAACAGAACAAGAGGCCAAGGGAGGUCUUUUUUUUUUUUUUUUUUUUUUUUUUGAAUCUGCUUUCCUUGGGUUUUUUCAAAAGCAACCACAGCAAAGGUGGCAUAGAACAGGCAUCCUCAACCAGGGUGCUAGAACUGGACACCUGGCUUGGCAGAGUCGGGGACAGAACACAACCCCUUGAAUAACGUACAUAUAUCAUUGUACAUGUUUGAACAGGCAAUAAAGGAACUCCAAAUUU